AUCAGAGACUCCUCCUGCUGUCCACGCGUCAAUGGAGCGUGGUGUUGCUGCAGCAGUAGCAAGUUCAAUUGCUCUAAUAGAAGAGGGGCUUGUCACUCCAGAUCAUGAACAUGCACCUGUUGUGGAUGAACAUCAUGAUUAUUUGUAUGCGAUGGAGUUACAAAAAAGUCUGGAGAGGAGAUCGAGUGGACGUACUCGAAAGACACCUGCAUCAUAUACAUCUCCAUCCCCUCGAUAGGCAAAGAUAUCUCGUGAUCUGUUUCCUUCCCCUAGAGGGAAAUGAAUAGAAUA